UCGCAUGUAGUCCAAUCGCAGAUUAAGUGGCCUUGCAGCCAGACGGGGAGGAUGUGUGGAUUCAGACGGGGAGAACCGCGCCGUGAGGGAGGCAAGACGCGGACGGAGACGUAGCCGGCGCCCGGGCCCGGCGGACUGGCCGGAGGCUGGCCAUGGACGAAGAGGACACGAGCGAGGUGAAUGGGGCGCAGAUGUGCGCCAGACGUACACAGGGAAGCCGAAUUUGGACAGGAUUCAUGGGGACAUGGUCACUUAGGGAGGAUGAAGCGGAGGACAUCCGGACAGCGGGCGGUCAAGGACGGGGGCAACGGGAAAGGGCCUGCUCGGCUGCACAGCGCUGCAGCUGCAGUUGCCAGCGUUUUAGCCUAAUGUAGCAACUGCAGCAAGGCUGCAUGCUAGCGGCUUGCUGGCAGCCAGCCGGAAGUAGCACAGCCGAAUAGGCUUUCGAAGGGCUCCGGGGUGUCAAUUGGGAUAGGGUUUUGUGUGUGUGUUUUUUUUUGGGGCGAAGGAUAGCGUUUUGUGUGGUAGUAGUGAUAGAGGGCUGGACGGAGAGUGGAAAUUUCUCUGAUGGCUGCUCUGUAGUUGGGCUUUCCAUAGAAGUUCGGGUUACAGGUACGGGGGGUAAAACCCAAGUUCCCCAAGAUAAUUUCGGGUUUCUGGAUCUGCAACCUGAGGAUUUAUUUUGGGAGUCAGGUUUCGGCUAACACGGGUUCGGGCUCAGGUUUUUCAGGUUCGGGGUUUGGGUUUUCUGCCCACCCCUAUCUGCAAGGGGUGAUGUCGAUGUGCACAGGGCUGUGACGUGGAUAAAAAGGUCAAAUAGGCUAGCUGCAUUGUGUACGUUGGAAAAGAAAAAAAGGUUGCUUAGUCUAAAUCAGAUAUUAGUUUUAUGUACAGAUCAGGAAGCACACACUUGCAAAAAAAAAA
rnacentral:lncRNA from 1 species